GUGCCGAGCCGCCGCGGUAAUACCGGCAGCCCGAGUGAUGGCCGAUCUUAUUGGGCCUAAAGCGUCCGUAGCUUGCUGUGUAAGUCCAUUGGGAAAUCGACCAGCUCAACUGGUCGACGUCCGGUGGAAACUACACAGCUUGGGGCCGAGAGACUCAACGGGUACGUCCGGGGUAGGAGUGAAAUCCUGUAAUCCUGGACGGACCACCAAUGGGGAAACCACGUCGAGAGACCGGACCCGACAGUGAGGGACGAAAGCCAGGGUCUCGAACCGGAUUAGAAACCCUUGUAGUCC
rnacentral:rRNA from 1 species